rnacentral:rRNA from 1 species
UCCGCUGUGGGCGUCGGAAAUUUGAGUGGAGCUGUCCUCAGUACGAGAGGACCGGGAUGGACAUACCUCCGGUGCACCGGUUGUCCUGCCAAGGGCACGGCCGGGUAGCCGCGUAUGGACGGGAUAAGCGCUGAAAGCAUCUAAGUGCGAAGCCCCCCACAAGAAGAGAUUUCCUCCUGAAAAGGUAAGACCCGUGAAAGACCAUCACGUCGAUAGGUCGGAGGUGUACGCAUGGCAACAUGUUCAGCUGACCGAUACUAAUGGGUCGAACGCUUGACCAA